GAAGGUCGGAUUCAUUUUUGCAGACCCAAAACUUCUCGCUCUCGUUGAAAAGACUCAAGAACUCUUCGUCGAUGCCACCUUUAAAACACGGCCUCACCACGAUAUCUUUUCUUAACUGUUGAACAUCAUUGUCAUCUACAAAGAUUACUCUGUCGCGGUGAUGCAUGUCUUAAUGACAUGCAAGGAGCAAGCACUCUACGGCCAGAUCAUGGAGCGGUUCAAAGCUUUGGUUGGAUCAGACUUCAAGCCAAAAAGUGUGAUGUCGGACUACGAACGGGCGAUCCUGAACACCAUGCAAACUGCCUUUCCGGAAUCGAGAGUGUCUGGAUGCAGAUUUCACUUCAGCCAAGCAGGUAAAUAAUAUUUUAACCAUUUAAUUGAUUUUUAACACGUUAUUUAUCUUUGUUAUUUACUUCUUUUUAGUUCUCCGGAAAGUGUGUGCUUGCAACAAGGAGGAUUUCUAUAAAAAUGUUGAGUUUAGGAAUCUGAUGCUCAAACACAUGGCCCUAAGCACUCUACCGGCGAACCAAAUGGUACCGGUAUUUCAACAGCUGAAGCAAGAUGUGCUCCACUUACAACAACUCAGGCUCCGGAAGCAAGUCCAGAUAAUGCACAGGAAUUACUUCGUAAAGUGGUGGUUCCAAGGCAUCGGGCCCCAGCUGAUCUCUACGUACGGUCUUGCACAUAAGACCAACAACGUCUGCGAAAGUCUCCAUAAGAAAAUGUCUUUGAAGCUGGCAAAGGCGUCGACAAUCUGGAGAUUCCUUUCAGAUCUGAGGAUGUUCGUCAUCGAGCCAG